rnacentral:lncRNA from 10 species
GUGAUCAUCCUUCCCAGGCUGAGGGUACAGACAGGAGCUGGCAGAGCAGGGAGGGUGCUGGGCAUCUACCACAGGGUCAGGAGCCCUGGGGAAGUCUCCUGAUGGUGGACACCAGAACUGGUUAACAUCUACAGGCCUGGCUCACCCAACCAAACAUACGGGAGAUGAAAACAUCGAGGCUUAGAGGGGUUUCUGAGUAGCUGAGAAGUCAGGACUUCACACUCCCGAUCUUUCCCCUGGCCUCCAGUUUGCCUGGCAAAGUCACAGGAAGUAUCUCCAUGGCACCGCAUCAGCCCUCACAGAGCAGGAAACCUUGAUUUCUACAGAGGCUGUUUCCUCCCAGCCUUGUGCAAGGCCCACUGCAGAGACAAAAUUAUGGUGGCCAAAGUGUGAAUGCCAAGGCCACACUGGCCUCCAUCCCUGGGAUUUGCUGGUAGAAGAAAGGGAAUCAGCGCUGACUGAGCUCCUACUAUGUGCCCUUCCUGGGCCUGGCACUGGAAUCACAGGAUGAAUGAAUAAGGCAUAUUUCCUGCCCUGAGGAGGCGUCUAUAGGGGAAGUCGGAAUUAAGGCACCUCCAGAAUUCUGAGGUCAAGGGAAUGUCAACAGAGCUGUGAACAAAAUGCCCAAAGCCAUGAAAAUCUACAGAGAGAGACUCGAAGGGGAGGAAUGGGGUAGGAGCUGGUGCCGAGGAUGAGAGGGGAGAAUUCACCUGGUGGAGAACUGAUAGGCCAGGCUGAGGUCGGGAUGGUGGAGGAGGUGGUGGAGGUGAUGAGGUACCAGAGCAACCUCGAAGAAAGCUGAGAGGCAGGAGACCGCCAAAGGCAAACUUGGAACACCUGGUGACUCCGACUAACUCUCCAUGUGGUGUCCUUGAGGACUUUUAUGAUACUGCUACCACUGCUAAUAGUAAUAAAAGCCACUAUUUAAUGUGUUUACUAUGCGCUGGGUGUGCAAAUAUUGUGGAAAGAGUGAACAUAUGUGCAGAAUGCUUAAUAAACGUGAUCUCCUUUUAUCUUCAAAAGAACAAUACAGGCCAGGUGCGGUGGCUCAUGCCUAUAAUUCCAGCACUUUGGGAGGCCGAGGCAGAUGGAUUGCUUGAGCUCAAGAAGUUUCAGACCAGCCUGGGCAACAUGGCAAAACCCCAUCUCUACAAAAAAAUACCCAAAAAAUUAGCCAGGUGUGAUGUUGCCUGCCUGUGGUCCCAGCUACUCCAGAGGUUGAGGUGGGAGAAUCGCGUGAGCCCAGAAGGUCAAGGCUGCAGUGAGCUGUGAUCCUGCCACUGCACUCCAGCCUGGGGUGACAGAGUGAGACCCUGCCUAAAAAAAAAAGAAUCAAUACGAUUAAUACUUUUACUUCUAUUUUUCAGACAAGGAAAUUGAGGCUCAGAGAGGUUAGGAACUUGCCAGAAGACCUACCAGCAAGUGGCAGAGCUAAGGUCCCAUCUGACCCCAAAGCCCACCCAUAACCGCUAUGCAGUACUGUCCAGGCAGAAACACAAACAUUACCCCAUUGUUUUUAUUCUUCAACACCUUUGGUAUCAUCCAGUCCCAGGACACUGGCUCCUGAGGAAGGAAGGCCCCUCCCACAUCCUUUAAAAUUCCCAGGCAUAAAACCAUGUUCACCAGCCACCGUGAGGGUAAGCCUCAGAGACAGGGACCGUGCCCAC